rnacentral:rRNA from 1 species
UACGAAGGGGGCUAGCGUUGUUCGGAUUUACUGGGCGUAAAGCGCACGUAGGCGGAUCGUUAAGUCGGGGGGUGAAAUCCUGGAGCUCAACUCCAGAACUGCCUUCGAUACUGGCGAUCUUGAGUCCGGAAGAGGUGAGUGGAACUCCUAGUGUAGAGGUGGAAUUCGUAGAUAUUAGGAAGAACACCAGUGGCGAAGGCGGCUCACUGGUCCGGUACUGACGCUGAGGUGCGAAAGCGUGGGGAGCAAACAGGGAUUAAGAAACCCUAG